UACGUAGGGUGCAAGCGUUAAUCGGAAUUACUGGGCGUAAAGCGUGCGCAGGCGGUUUUGUAAGUCUGUCGUGAAAUCCCCGGGCUCAACCUGGGAAUUGCGAUGGAGACUGCAAGGCUAGAAUCUGGCAGAGGGGGGUAGAAUUCCACGUGUAGCAGUGAAAUGCGUAGAGAUGUGGAGGAACGACCGAUGGCGAAGGGCAGCCCCCUGGGUCAAGAUUGACGCUCA
rnacentral:rRNA from 1 species